CAACCCUCAAGCUCUGCUUGGUAUUGAGCCCUGCCUGCUUUGAAGGCAGGCUUUAAAGUCAGUGGCGAUGCUAUUCAGCUUCAAGCGUAGUAAACAUUCUCGCUACGGAGUCCGAAUAUGUCGUUGCCAACAAUCUCACUCUUUAAA
rnacentral:misc_RNA from 1 species